rnacentral:lncRNA from 10 species
AGAGAAACCAGCUGGCCUGCUUGUGAGUGGGAGGUUGCGGGGGGUCACCUUGAACCGAGGUCUCUCUGGACAGAACUGUUUUCUUAUUCAAUCAUUCAUUCAUCAUCUAUUUAUAGACAUGACAUUUAUUCAUGGAUUCAGCUAAUAUUUAUUAGGAGGGGCAAAAUAACUCUCACUUCUAACCUACACAUUUUUGAGUUGUUUACAUUCAUUAUUACACAAGUAUGUGCUGCUUUCAUUUUUUUAAGCUUUGCUUUUAAUUAAUUAAUUAAUUUAUUUAUUUAGCAAUCCCAGGAUGGAGACAGAUUUAAUUAUUUUAAAAUAACAGGCCAGGCGUGGUGGCACACACUUGUAAUCCCAGCUACUCAGGAGGCUGAGGCAGGAGAAUCGCUUGAACCCAGGAGGUAGAGGUUGCAGUGAGCCGAGAUCACGCCACUGCACUCCAGCCUCAGCCACAGCCUGUCUCAAAAAUUAAAAAGAGAGAGAGAGAGAGAGAGAGAUGCUGCUUUCUGAUCCAGAGGACAUACAUGCCCCACUGGCAAGACAGAAGAUCCCCAAUUCGGACAGCUACCUGGAGAAGUUGACCUCUAAGCUGAAAACUCAAGGAUGAACGUUGCCAGGUGACAGGGAGGAAAUUACCAGAAAUGGUGCUCUGGGCAAAGGGAACAGCAUGUACAAAGGUCAGGAGAUCAUGCUUUUUUCCGAAAAUGCAAGUGUUUGAGACCAUACUGUAGGAAGUGGGAGAGGAAGUGAUGAGCUCAGAGAAAAAGACAGAAAGGCAGAGAGCCCACUUAAAGGAAUGGCUAAUUAACCACCCCCAUUCCACUCUUCCCGCCCACCUCCCCACCCUCAUCCCACUCCUAGGACCAUGACUCAGUCAUGAGGUUUUCACACUCUCUCACUUUAAGCUGGGCAGUUUCUGUUUCUCAGCCAAUGUGUCAUUCAUCAGCAGAUCAUGUCAUCCCCCCCAAUCCACAGCAUGGUUCCAGAAUAUCAGCUGAUCCUCGUGAAUUGGACCGCAAAUCUUCCAGAGUUUUUUUUUUGUUUUUUUUUUUUUCUUUUUUGAGAUGAGGUCU